rnacentral:rRNA from 1 species
CCUACGGGGUGCAGCAGUAGGGAAUAUUGCUCAAUGGGGGAAACCCUGAAGCAGCAACGCCGCGUGGAGGAUGAAGGUUUUCGGAUUGUAAACUCCUUUUGUUAGAGAAGAUAAUGACGGUAUCUAACGAAUAAGCACCGGCUAACUCCGUGCCAGCAGCCGCGGUAAUACGGAGGGUGCAAGCGUUACUCGGAAUCACUGGGCGUAAAGCGCGCGUAGGCGGGAUAGCAAGUCAGAUGUGAAAUCCUAUGGCUUAACCAUAGAACUGCAGUUGAAACUGGUAUUCUAGAGUAUGGGAGAGGUAGGUGGAAUUCUUGGUGUAGGGGUAAAAUCCGUAGAGAUCAAGAGGAAUACUCAUUGCGAAGGCGACCUGCUAGAACAUAACUGACGCUGAUGCGCGAAAGCGUGGGGAGCAAACAGGAUUAGAUACCCGGGUAGUC